rnacentral:rRNA from 1 species
UUCCAUUCCGAACACAGAAGUUAAGUUCUCUAGCACUGAUGGUACUUGGUGGGAAACUGCCUGGGAGAGUAGGACAUAGCCACGU